rnacentral:rRNA from 1 species
CUCAACCUAGGAAUUGCAUUCCAAACUGGCGGGCUAGAGUCCGGAAGAGGGAGGUGGAAUUCCCCGUGUAGCGGUGAAAUGCGUAGAUAUGGGGAGGAACACCGGUGGCGAAGGCGACCUCCUGGUCCGGUACUGACGCUGAGGCGCGAAAGCGUGGGUAGCGAACGGGAUUAGAUACCCCGGUAGUCCACGCCGUAAACGUUGAGAACUAGGUGUGGGGAAGCUUGCCUUCUCCGUGCCGAAGCUAACGCGUUAAGUUCUCCGCCUGGGGAGUACGGCCGCAAGGCUAAAACUCAAAGGAAUUGACGGGGGCCCGCACAAGCGGUGGAGCAUGUGGUUUAAUUCGAUGCAACGCGAAGAACCUUACCUGGGCUUGACAUCAUCCGGAAUCCUCUAGAGAUAGGGGAGUGCCUUCGGGAGCCG